CGGAGGUGGCGAGCGUUGCUCGGAUUCACUGGGUGUAAAGGGCAAGUAGGCGGCCGCGUAAGUCGGGUGUGAAAGUCCACGGCUCAACCGUGGAAUUGCGCCCGAAACUGCGUGGCUAGAGGACAGCAGAGGUGAAUGGAAUUCCCGGUGUAAGGGUGAAAUCUGUAGAGAUCGGGAGGAAUUCCAGUGGCGUAGGCGAUUCACUGGGCUGUUUCUGACGCUGAGAGGCGAAAGCUAGGGGAGCAAACAGGAUUAGAUACCCUGGUAGUCCUAGCUGUAAACUAUGCACACUAGGUGUUGGCUCCCAUCUGGGGGUCAGUGCCGCAGUUAACACGUUAAGUGUGCCACCUGGGGACUACGGCCGCAAGGUUG
rnacentral:rRNA from 1 species